ensembl:lncRNA
GCCGAGGCGGUGCCCGAUGCCGAGGCGGUCCCCGAUGCUAUGCCCGAUGCCGAGGCGGUGCCCGAUGCCGAGGCGGUGCCCGAGGCGGUCCCCGAUGCUAUGUCCGAUGCAGAGGCGGUGCCCGAUGCCGAGGCGGUGCCCGAUGCGGUGCCAGAGACGGUGCCAGAGACGGUUCCCGAUGUAAUGCCCGAGACCGAGGCGGAGGUCGAGGCGGUGCCCGAUGUUGUUCCCGAUGCCGAGGCGGUGCCCGAGGCUGUGCCCGAUGCCGAGGCGGUGCCCGAUGCGCAGGCCGAGGUCGUUCCCGAGGCGGUGUCCUUGUCCGAUGCCGUUCCUGAGGCCAUUCCCGAGGCGGUGCCCGAUGCUGUUCCGGAGGCCGAUGCGGGGCCCGAGAUGGUUCCGGAGGCGAUACCCGUGUCCAAGGCCGUUCCCGAGGCGGUGCCCUUGUCUGAUGCCGUUCCCAAUGCCGUGACCUGGCCAUCGCCACAGCCUGCUCCUUACUGGCUCCCCGAUUGGCAGGUUCCGUUCGGGCCACUCAAAUGGCGAAUUCCUCCCUGGCCGUCUGCACAACGAGAAUGGACUGAUCCACCGUGGCCACCUGAACUGCCUGGCCCCUCGUGGUCCCCUGAACUUUCGGGUCCACCGUGGCCACCUGAACUGCCUGGUCCCUCGUGGUCCCCUGAACUUUCGGGUCCACCAUGGCCCCCUGAUCUGACCGAGCCACCUGGGCUACCAGGGGAGCCAUCACUGCCGGUCCCAGUUCCCCUACACGGGCCUGGCCCGCCAUCCCUCCCCCUGUUCUG